rnacentral:rRNA from 1 species
UACGGAGGGUGCAAGCGUUAAUCGGAAUUACUGGGCGUAAAGCGCACGCAGGCGGUUGGAUAAGUUAGAUGUGAAAACCCCUGGCUCAACCUGGGAAUUGCAUUUAAAACUUUCUGGCUAGAAUCUUGUGGAGGGGGGUAGAAUUCCUGGUGUAGCGGUGAAAUGCGUAGAGAUCUGGAGGAAUACCGGUGGCGAAGGCGGCCCCCUGGACAA